rnacentral:rRNA from 1 species
GAUGAACGCUGGCGGCGUGCCUAAUACAUGCAAGUCGAGCGAACGGACGAGAAGCUUGCUUCUCUGAUGUUAGCGGCGGACGGGUGAGUAACACGUGUAUAACCUACCUAUAAGACUGGGAUAACUUCGGGAAACCGGAGCUAAUACCGUAUGAGAUUUUGAUCCGCAUGGUUCAAUAGUGAAAUACGGUCUUGCUGUCACUUAUAGAUGGAUCCGGGCUGCAUUGGCUAGUUGGUAAGUUAACGGCUUACCAAGGCAACGAUGCAUAGCCGACCGGAGAGGGGGAUAGGCCACCCGGGAGCUGAGACAGCGACCUGGCGCCUACGAGAGGCCGCAGUAGCGUAUCUUCCGCAAUGGGCGAAAGCAUGACGGAGCAACGCCGAGUGAGUGAUGGAGGCCUUCGGAUCGUAAUACUCUGUUACUAGUGAAGAACAUAUGUGUACGUAACCGUGCCGAUAGUGACGGUAACUAAUAAGAAAGCCCCGGCUAACUACGUG